rnacentral:rRNA from 1 species
UACGUAGGGUGCAAGCGUUGUCCGGAAUUAUUGGGCGUAAAGAGCUCGUAGGCGGUUUGUUGCGUCGGCUGUGAAAUCCCGAGGCUCAACCUCGGGUCUGCAGUCGAUACGAGCAAACUAGAGUGUUGCAGGGGAGACUGGAAUUCCUGGUGUAGCGGUGAAAUGCGCAGAUAUCAGGAGGAACACCGGUGGCGAAGGCGGGUCUCUGGGCAACAACUGACACUGAGGCACGAAAGCUAGGGGAGCAAACAGG